AGAGGAAAGUUAAGAGCACCCGCAGUCGACAGGGUGAGCAGCGAGUCCCCGAGGUUGAGCUGGAGCAUCAGCAGUUUUUGGCACUUUUCAAU